CAGGGAAGUAUUCCGCUGAAAGACUGACUUCAUCAAAUGCUUUUUUAUUUCCUUUUGAUUGUACGGAUGAAUGCACUAUCUUUUUUAAGACAAUUUAAAUACAUUUUAUUAAUAUAUGACAAUUAUACUUACUGUUCUAACAUGGAGUCAAAUGAGAACGAACAAAAGUCGGAAGGCGACAGCAGAAACUGUAUCUGUCUACCGUUUGUUCUACUUGCUUUAGUUGGGGGAGGUUUUUCCUUAGAAUUAUUUGGAUUUUUAAAGCUAGAUCCCUUUAACCAAAGGAAUGAUACGUCAGAUCUUUGCAGAUUACUUCCCUCUAGCAAAUCUUGUACGUUUAAGCCGGAAAAUGAAGAUAUUUUGCCAAAUUCAACGAAAAGUAUGGGAGAAUAUACGUUUGAAUUCUUUUCCUAUACACAGGCGCAGUGUAUCUUCUUCCAGUUCAUUACGGUCAACAUAAUUCUUCCUCAUAUAUGUUUUUGCUUCUAUGUAUGUUGCAAUUGUUGUAUCAGGCGACAAAUUAUCCGAUGCUGUAUGGGGUUAUGCUUUUGUCCCUGUUUCCACUGGGUAUGGAUACUGUUAGAAGGCUUUGUAGGAAUUACCUGCAUAAUAAGUUGUUCGGUUCUUGGAAUGUAUUUGUCACCAAGUGACAUAAGACAGAUCGAUGGAUUCUUUUAUUGCCUUUCCAAUGGAAUAUUAGGAAUACUGAAGUUUGUAGGUUAUAUUGUUUACCAAAAGAAAGUUGGAUUUCCUUCAGGCGAUUACUUCUAUGGAUGCAACUAUCAAUUUAAAAACAUCACGGUUGAGAAAAAGCAAGUGGGCAUAAGAAAAUAUAAAAAUUCGGCCGGACGUACUAUCAGAAAGGAAAAAGAGUUUAUAUAUAGCAUAAGCUAUCAUUAACGCCGUUACAUGUAAUGUAUAGUUGAGAACUGUCGGCAUGUUGCUACUUAACAAUGUAUCUCAAUCUGAAAGCUGUUAUUUAUCUCAAACUAUUAUAAGAAUAAAUUUAAAGAUUUAAGAAAAAUAUUACAAGCGUGGUCGCUAUUUCCACGGAGUAACAUAUGAAUCAAGCAGUUUCAUGCUAUUAAGAUACACACAAAGUCCAUAUUUUCACAGUACCGGUUAAAGGUUAUUUUAAACCACAUUUAAAGAAUCUUUAGAGUUAUCAUACAAUAUAAUGAUGCUCUUAUCAUUUUGGAAAUUUUACUUAUAAUUCACAAUUCUGACUUUCUGGAGUUAAAUUUAUUGUGUUUCCUUAUUUAUUUUGUAUUUCGGUUUCUUUUUACAUUUCUUAUCCAUAACUUUUAAUCAACAUGUUUUGAUACGCACUAUGAAAUACUCAGUGUGGACAUUGAGCGACAUAUUUUACGGCGUUUUACGUUUCCGCAUUUUGGUACUACGUUUCCGCAUUAAAAUUCCUACGUUUCCGCAUUUUUAUAGUACUCUUUUCCGCAUUGUUUUUACAUUGAUUUUGUUAAAGGUUAUUUACAUUUCCGUUUUUUUAAUGUAUGCCUCUUCUAUUUGCCAGGUAAAUCUGUUGCCCCCUGCUCACCAACGGGGAGGUCUAAGUAGGACUUCGAGCAGGAUAAGUCUUAUGAUUAAAAUGAAACUAUCAACUUAAAAUGAUAAAAAUUAUACAUGGUCAUAUAUCAAUUAAAAGUCAAUGUUCAGCACUAAAAGUUUAUAUAUACAGAUAAAACAGUAAACGUCAGUAUACUAUUAUACAGUACAUGUAGCACAGUUUCCAUAUUUGUCAAAGCGGAAAACUUGUAGCCAACUGACUUUAUGAAGUCUAACCUCGUAAUCUCUUCUCUACCAUACUUGACAAACUGUUCGGAUACGAAUUCAAUUCGUUCGCGGUCAUUUUUACGAACUGGUGCUAUUGCUGAUAAAGACCGAAUUUUGAUGUAAGUUGUUGUUUGGAUCCACUGCAAAACGUCCAUAAAGAUAAAUAUACUUGGGUGACAUGCAUUGAACUGGGAGUUAAAAUGAGAAUGAAACGAUUCCGGCCCAUUUGUGGUUCUUUUGGCUUCUGUGUCGGGAGGAGAUGCCCAUAUUUGCGGUGGAAACUUAGAAUCAGCGGCAAUGUAGUUUUCUAGGAUGUAGUCAGCAAAAUUUCAAACAUUUUUCGUUUUGUGGAGUAACUGCCAUAAUGUCUUCUACAAAACAAUCCUCAAUCUCUUCUGGUGAUGAGAAGGCGAGUCCAAAGAACUGGUUGAGCCAUUUCCCUACUUCACUUGACCUUUCUUUAUAUUCGGUACUUAGUCCAAUAGUUUGUAUUCUACGCCACCAACUUUGACCUAGAUGGAAUCUGCAGCCGCUUAUAUCUGCAUUAGGAAAAAUUACUCUUACAACAUUGUGCAUGGCCUGUUCAAAGUCAAUAUGUAUUGCUUUCGGAGAGAGCACUAAAUUUCUCUGUUGGCAAGAAGCAUUUAGGAAAUUCUAGGUAGGAGAGCAAAAAACAAGUGGAAUAUAAUUGCCAUUUAGACACCCAUAUAUUGAGUAUAAUUGAUAAUAAAACUUUGGACAAUACUUGAAAAUUCCGUCAAUAAAAAUAUCCUCCAUUUCACUACAAAGACAUUCUAAAUUAACUGAACAUGAGAAAAUAAUGAUACCUGUUUCUUGAUCAUUUACCCAAGUAAAGAAUAUAAUCUACCUGUUGAAGGAAUUAUAUUAUCAUAAUAAAAUACAAAUUAAGAAAAAAUACUAUAAUAAAAUAAAGUCUUAUAUAUCAUUAUUACCAUUUUUUUACAGGUGAAAUACAGGUAAAAAUGCGGAAAGGUGGUAUCUAUUUAUUUCGGAAAAGUAAUGCACGAAAAUGCGGAAACGUGAAACUGGAUUUUUGCUAUAAAUGCGGAAACGUAAUACGCCCAUAUUUUAAUAUAUUACCUAACUACUGACAAUAUUGCUUAAUCAUAACUAUAUGUUCUUAAUUAUCAUAAUCAAAUUAUCAAUUUUAUAUAUGACAGUGAAUGAAUGAAUGCAUUAAUGAAAGGACAAGGUAUGAUAAGGGGCGUUUUUGGCCCCCUUCCCGAAUAAGUUUAUAUAUAGAUCAUUGAUAGCCUUUGUAUAGAAACUAGACAAAACGAUGAUUUUUUUUUGUGUUCCGGUGAAAGGAAGGUUGCCUAGCAACGGUUUUAUUAAAUAGACAAAUUAUCACUUA